rnacentral:lncRNA from 1 species
CCUGUGGAUCCCCUCUAUGAAUCUUGCCUCAAACUUCCCAAUCAUCAUCCACUUUUUAGCCAGAUCCUUGGGUAAUUCUUCUGCACACUCUUAACUGAAGCACUUCAGUCUCUAUCUGCAUGCCAAAGCCACUUGAAAAUUUUACUCACCUGUGUUAAUACGUAAUUUCCAAAAAGAAGUACCUUUUAAAGCCUAACGUACCUUCUUUCAAGACCCUCUCGUCUGUUAAGGGUUUGAAUAAAGGUUCUAACUGCAGUU